UGGGGAAUAUUGCACAAUGGGCGCAAGCCUGAUGCAGCCAUGCCGCGUGUGUGAAGAAGGCCUUCGGGUUGUAAAGCACUUUCAGCGGGGAGGAAGGCGUUAAGGUUAAUAACCUUGGCGAUUGACGUUACCCGCAGAAGAAGCACCGGCUAACUCCGUGCCAGCAGCCGCGGUAAUACGGAGGGUGCAAGCGUUAAUCGGAAUUACUGGGCGUAAAGCGCACGCAGGCGGUCUGUCAAGUCAGAUGUGAAAUCCCCGGGCUUAACCCGGGAAUUGCAUCUGAUACUGGUCAGCUAGAGUCUUGUAGAGGGGGGUAGAAUUCCAUGUGUAGCGGUGAAAUGCGUAGAGAUGUGGAGGAAUACCGGUGGCGAAGGCGGCCCCCUGGACAAAGACUGACGCUCAGGUGCGAAAGCGUGGGGAGCAAACAGG
rnacentral:rRNA from 1 species